GGGGGGCUGGCUCAGUGGUAGAGUGCUUGCUUCUCAUGCAUGAGGUCCUGGGUUUGAUUCCUCAGCACCACA
rfam:Dipodomys ordii contig_75308, whole genome shotgun sequence.